AGAGAGAGACAUGCGUGCAUAUCAAUAAGCGGAGGAAAAGAAACUAACAAGGAUUCCCCUAGUAACGGCGAGUGAAGCGGGAAGAGCUCAAAUUUGAAAUCUUAAAGGGUUUCCCUUUACGAAUUGUAGUUUAAAGAAGUGUUUUCUGUUGAGGUUUUGGUAAAAGUUCUUUGGAAUAGGACAUCAUAGAGGGUGAGAAUCCCGUAUUUGACCUUUACUUUCAACUUUGUGAUACACUUUCAAAGAGUCGGAUUGUUUGGGAAUGCAGUCCAAAAUGGGUGGUAAAUUUCAUCUAAAGCUAAAUAUUGGCGAGAGACCGAUAGCGAACAAGUACCGUGAGGGAAAGAUGAAAAGAACUUUGAAAAGAGAGUUAAACAGUACGUGAAAUUGUCAAAAGGGAAGCGUUUGACACCAGUGUUGUUUUUCUGAAAAUCAAUUAAGGAACUGUUUAUGCUAAGCUGUUUAGACUUUAUCAGCUCAUCUGUUUAGUUUUGAGCUUUUCUUUAAUGCACUUUUCAGUUAACAAGUCAACAUCAAUUUCUUUUGCUGUAAAAAAGCUUGAGGAAGGUGGCUUGAGAUUCGUCCUUAAGUGUUUAUAGCCUCUUGCCUAUGCAGUCGGAGAGAUUGAGGUCUGCAGCGUAGAUCCUUCGGGGCUAAAUGCAUUUGUGCUAAGUUAUAGCACUUUAUAGACAACUUGUUGACUAUGAUUUGUCUUGUAGCUUACUCGCUUAUGUUAUUUUACCUACGCUUAGGAUGUUGACGCAUGAGAUAUACGC
rnacentral:rRNA from 1 species